AUACGGAGGGGGCUAGCGUUGUUCGGAAUUACUGGGCGUAAAGCGCGCGUAGGCGGCCAGUCAAGUCGGGGGUGAAAGCCCGGGGCUCAACCCCGGAACGGCCCUCGAAACUGAUUGGCUCGAGACCGGGAGAGGAGAGUGGAAUUCCCAGUGUAGAGGUGAAAUUCGUAGAUAUUGGGAAGAACACCAGUGGCGAAGGCGGCUCUCUGGACCGGACCUGACGCUGAGGCGCGAAAGCGUGGGGAGCAAACAGGAUUAGAAACCCCGGUAGUCC
rnacentral:rRNA from 1 species